rnacentral:rRNA from 1 species
UACGUAGGAUGUGAGCGUUAUCCGGAUUUAUUGGGUAUAAAGGGUGCGUAGGCGGGUUAUCAAGUCAGCGGUAAAAUCGUGGAGCUCAACUCCAUCCAGCCGUUGAAACUGAUGAUCUUGAGUGGGCGAGAAGUAUGCGGAAUGCGUGGUGUAGCGGUGAAAUGCAUAGAUAUCACGCAGAACUCCGAUUGCGAAGGCAGCAUACCGGCGCCCGACUGACGCUGAAGCACGAAAGCGUGGGUAUCGAACAGG